GCUCCCUGCAAAUCCCUAGGCAAACACUUCAUAUUUUGAGCAAGUGUAUUAGCUAGGGUUCUUCAGAGAAACAGAACCAAUGCAAAUGCAUAUAUAUUAUAUACAUAUAUUGUUUCUUUAUUUUAAGGAAUGGCUCCCAGGCUGAAUCCACAAUACAUUCAGGCCCAAGGACAAUCUGCUGGGAGGGCAGGUCAGGAACUUCUGCCCCAUCCUUCCGCACUCGGUGAGGUUUGCACAGCACAAGGAGACGCUCUGAUUCUGCAGAUGUGAAGUGGUGGUGCCCAGAGCUCAGAAGCCCUGGUAUUGGUCCAAGGAAAGGAGCUCAGCAAAGAAGCCAUUCCCCACACUCCAGAGAGGGGUAACAAGGCUUGGCGAGGAAAUGCAAAGGGCUAGUUUUGCACUUCAUUGCAUGGUCAAGCAGCUGGGAGAUGAGUCACUCCAGCUCCAUGGAUCUGCAGAGGGAGACUUGCAGGAAGAGAGGCCCGCCCAACUCUCCCGAAGGCCUCGGAAGUAGAAGGUUCUCAUCACCUGCAGAAGGACCUUCCAGAGGAAAUGCGACGGUUAUUACCACCAGGGAGGAGCCAGACUUGAUUUUUGGAGCACAGCCUGGUUUUUUCAAGUGUUUCGAGGCUUUCACCAGUCCAGGGAAGAUGUCCUAUCAGCAGCAGCAACAAUGCAAACUUCCCUGCCCACCCCCUCCUCAGAAGUGAAUCAUCCGAAGCCACCACACCCUCCACCUGGACCUGAAGGUGCCAAGCCCUCUCCCUCCCUGCCAAUGCUCUACACCCUCCUUCCAACAGUCACAAAGAAGAACACAGCCUAGGAAAACCUACCUCUCAGCUGGCCCAAGGAGAGUGACACCUCCACUCAAGGUGUCUUGUUGCGGAUCAACAGAUCACUCUGAGCCUCAUCCUCUAGCACCCAGCAGAGAACAGAUGAGUGCUAUUCUCCGAGGCCUCCCUCCCCUGGAGCCCUGUGAACUAUAUUCACCGUGGCCAGGACAGGCUGCUCUUCCAGGUGCUUCUGCAGGUCUGAGAAGAACAUUAGAAUGAGGGCAGAUUCUUUCAACGAUGCCUCCUGACUUACUCCAAGUUUUUCCAAGCUUUUGAGAAGCCAAAGGCAUUAAACUAACUGCCUUAAAUGAGUGGAAAAUUACUCCGACUUCCUUCUUUGCCUUACUAUUUAGUUAGUGUAGUGAAAUCUAUUUCAAAUCACCAAUUUUUUAUUGGUAAAGACAGAUGACUUUACCUCUUGACCCUAAGCCAGAAGCUCCCAACCCUUUGUGUUGCUGUUACUUUUAACUUCCCACUCCUAAUAAAUCCAGUUGUUCCUGUAUGCAUCUGGCUGUGGUCACUGGCUGGGAAGAGAAUGCCCCAGAGGGGAAAUGGGUACUGCAGGGGAGCAGUGCUUGGAAGAGCCACCAGGGGCAGUCAGGAGGCUACCUGAAGGGAU
rnacentral:lncRNA from 1 species